GUGCCGUGAGGUGUCGGGUUAAGUCCCAUAACGAGCGCAACCCCUAUCAUUAGUUGCCAUCAGGUCAAGCUGGGGACUCUAAUGAAACUGCCUACGCAAGUAGUGAGGAAGUGGGGAUGACGUCAAAUCAGCACGGCCCUUACGUCCAGGGCUACACACGUGCUACAAUGGCCGGUACAAAGGGCAGCUACCUGGUGACAGGAUGCUAACUCUCAAAAGCCGGUCUCAGUUCGGAUCGGAGUCUGCAACCCGACUCCGUGAAGCUGGAAUCGCUAGUAAUCCGCGCAUCAGCCAUGGCGCGGUGAAUACGUUCCCGGGCCUU
rnacentral:rRNA from 1 species